AGUCUAAUGCCGCAUAUGAUCUUCGGAUUAAAGGAUUUAUCCGCUUUGGGAGUGGCCUGCUCUCUGAUUAGAUAGUUGGUGAGGUAAUGGCUCACCAAGUCUACGAUCAUUAACUGGUCUGAGAGGAUGAUCAGUCAGACUGGAACUGAGACACGGUCCAGACUCCUACGGGAGGCAGCAGUGAGGAAUCUUCC
rnacentral:rRNA from 1 species